AUAUUGGACAAUGGGGGGAACCCUGAUCCAGCGACGCCGCGUGAGUGAAGAAGUAUCUCGGUAUGUAAAGCUCUAUCAGCAGGGAAGAAAGAAAUGACGGUACCUGAGUAAGAAGCCCCGGCUAACUACGUGCCAGCAGCCGCGGUAAUACGUAUGGUGCAAGCGUUAUCCGGCUUUACUGGGUGUAAAGGGAGCGCAGGCGGCACGGCAAGCCUGAUGUGAAAGCCCGCGGCCCAACCGCGGGACUGCAUUGGGAACUACCGGGCUGGAGUGCCGGAGAGGUAGGCGGAAUUCCUAGUGUAGCGGUGAAAUGCGUAGAUAUUAGGAGGAACACCAGUGGCGAAGGCGGCCUACUGGACGGUGACUGACGCUGAGGCUCGAAAGCGUGGGGAGCAAACAGG
rnacentral:rRNA from 1 species